GGUUAAGUUAACAAGGGCGCAUGGUGAAUGCCUUGGCACUAGGAGCCGAUGAAGGACGGGACUAACACCGAUAUGCUUCGGGGAGCUGUACGUAAGCUAUGAUCCGGAGAUUUCCGAAUGGGGCAACCCAGCAGUUUUAAUCAACUGUUACCACUAGAUGAAUUCAUAGUCUAGUUGGAGGUAAACGCUGUGAACUGAAACAUCUCAUUAGCAGCAGGAAUAUAAAGAAAUUCGAUUCCCUAAGUAGCGGCGAGCGAACGGGGAACAGCCCAAACCAAAGUGCUUGCACUUUGGGGUUGUAGGACUGAACAUUUGAGUUACCAAAGAACUUGAUAGUCGAAGGAUUUGGGAAAAUCCGCCAUAGAUGGUGAUAGCCCAGUAGAUUAAAUCAAAUUCUCUCAGUUCAGGAUCCUGAGUACGGCGGAACACGUGAAAUUCCGUCGGAAUCCGGGAGGACCAUCUCCCAAGGCUAAAUACUACCUAGUGACCGAUAGUGAACCAGUACCGUGAGGGAAAGGUGAAAAGCACCCCGGGAGGGGAGUGAAAUAGUUCCUGAAACCAUGUGCCUACAAUAAGUCAGAGCGCGUUAAUGCGUGAUGGCGUGCCUUUUGUAGAAUGAACCGGCGAGUUAUGAUCCCGUGCAAGGUUAAGACUAAAAAGUCGGAGCCGUAGCGAAAGCGAGUCUGAAAUGGGCGUUUUGAGUACGAGGUUAUAGACCCGAAACCAGGUGAACCUAUCCAUGUCCAGGUUGAAGGUGCGGUAAAACGCACUGGAGGACCGAACCCGUGUAAGUUGAAAAUUGCUGGGAUGAGGUGUGGAUAGCGGUGAAAUUCCAAACGAACUUGGAGAUAGCUGGUUCUCUCCGAAAUAGCUUUAGGGCUAGCCUCGGAAUUAGGAUCAUGGAGGUAGAGCACUAUUUGGACUAGGGGCCCGUCUUGGGUUACUGAAUUCAGAUAAACUCCGAAUGCCAUUGAUUCAUAUCCGGGAGUCAGACGAUGAGUGAUAAGAUCCACCGUCGAAAGGGGAACAGCCCAGACCAUCAGUUAAGGUCCCUAAAUGUAUGCUAAGUGGAAAAGGAUGUGGAGUUGCAUAGACAACUAGGAUGUUGGCUCAGAAGCAGCCACCAUUUAAAGAGUGCGUAAUAGCUCACUAGUCGAGUGAUCCUGCGCCGAAAAUGUACCGGGGCUAAGCAUACUACCGAAACCAUGGAUGCGACCAUUAGGUCGCGUGAUAGAGAGCGUUCUAAGGGCGGUGAAGCAAGAUCGUGAGGACUUGUGGAGCGCUUAGAAGUGAGAAUGCCGGUAUGAGUAGCGAAAGAUAGGUGAGAAUCCUAUCCACCGAAUGACUAAGGUUUCCUGGGGAAGGCUCGUCCUCCCAGGGUUAGUCGGGACCUAAGUCGAGGCCGAGAGGCGUAGACGAUGGAUAACAGGUUGAGAUUCCUGUACUAGUUAAGUGCGUUUGAGCAAUGGAGGGACGCAGGAGGCUAAGAUGUGCAUUCUGUUGGAUUAGAAUGUCCAAGCAGUAAGUCUUGUGAAGAGUCAAAUGCUUUUCACUUUAAGGACAAGCUGUGAUGGGGAGCGAAAUUUAGUAGCGAAGCGUCUGAUGUCACACUGCCGAGAAAAGCUUCUAGUGAGUACUUAACUACCCGUACCGCAAACCGACACAGGUAGUCGAGGAGAGAAUCCUAAGGUGAGCGAGUGAACUCUCGUUAAGGAACUCGGCAAAAUGACCCCGUAACUUCGGGAGAAGGGGUGCUGAUCGCAAGAUCAGCCGCAGUGAAUAGGCCCAGGCGACUGUUUAUCAAAAACACAGGUCUCUGCAAAAUCGUAAGAUGACGUAUAGGGGCUGACGCCUGCCCGGUGCUGGAAGGUUAAAAGGAUGGGUUAGCUUCGGCGAAGCUCAGAAUUGAAGCCCCAGUAAACGGCGGCCGUAACUAUAACGGUCCUAAGGUAGCGAAAUUCCUUGUCGGGUAAGUUCCGACCCGCACGAAAGGCGUAACGAUCUGGGCACUGUCUCAACGAGAGACUCGGUGAAAUUAUAUUGUCCGUGAAGAUGCGGACUACCCGCGACAGGACGGAAAGACCCCAUGGAGCUUUACUGUAGCUUGAUAUUGAGUGUUUGUACAGCUUGUACAGGAUAGGUAGGAGCCAUAGAAACCGGAACGCUAGUUUCGGUGGAGGCGUUGGUGGGAUACUACCCUCGCUGUAUGACCACUCUAACCCGCACCACUAAUCGUGGUGGGAGACAGUGUCAGGUGGGCAGUUUGACUGGGGCGGUCGCCUCCUAAAAAGUAACGGAGGCGCCCAAAGGUUCCCUCAGAAUGGUUGGAAAUCAUUCGCAGAGUGUAAAGGCACAAGGGAGCUUGACUGCGAGACAGACAGGUCGAGCAGGGACGAAAGUCGGGCUUAGUGAUCCGGUGGUACCGUAUGGAAGGGCCAUCGCUCAACGGAUAAAAGCUACCCUGGGGAUAACAGGCUUAUCUCCCCCAAGAGUCCACAUCGACGGGGAGGUUUGGCACCUCGAUGUCGGCUCAUCGCAUCCUGGGGCUGUAGUCGGUCCCAAGGGUUGGGCUGUUCGCCCAUUAAAGCGGUACGCGAGCUGGGUUCAGAACGUCGUGAGACAGUUCGGUCCCUAUCCGUCGCGGGCGUAGGAAAUUUGAGAGGACCUGUCCUUAGUACGAGAGGACCGGGAUGGACAUACCUCUGGUGUACCAGUUGUGCCGCCAGGCGCAUCGCUGGGUAGCUACGUAUGGAUGUGAUAAACGCUGAAAGCAUCUAAGUGUGAAACACACCUCGAGAUGAGAUUUCCCAUUCCUUUAUGGAAGUAAGACCCCUGAAAGAUGAUCAGGUAGAUAGGUUAGAAGUGGCAGUGCGGUGACGCAUGAAGCGGACUAAUACUAAUCGGUCGAGGACUUAACCAA
rnacentral:rRNA from 1 species